GUGCUUGCUUCGACAGCACAUAUACUAAAAUUGGAACGAUACAGAGAAGAUGAGCAUGGUUCCUGUGCUAAAAGUCACUCAGUCUACGGGAGAGGGACUAUUGUUUG